UUUUUGUGUUUUUAUUUGUAUAUUUAUUUGAUUAUUAUGUGUGAGUGGAUAGAUGAAAGUGAGAUAGAGAGGGUGAUUGACCUUGUAGUAGGGUAUGAAGAGUAAUUAGAGAAAGAUAGAAUAACUUAGAAUUAUUUUAUUAAUUGAAAUAAUAUUUUGAUUUUAUUAUAUAAGUAAUAGUGUUUUAAUUAUUAAAUGAAAUAAUAUGAGUAGUAACAUGUUUUAGUGAAUUUAAC
rnacentral:lncRNA from 1 species